GGCGGACGGGGGAUUAAUGCCUGGGGAUCUGCNCGGUCCAGGGGGAUAACAGUUGGAAACGACUGCUAAUACCGCAUACGCCCUACGGGGGAAAGGAGGGGACCUUCGGGCCUUUCGCGAUUGGAUGAACCCUGGUGGGAUUAGCUAGGUGGUGGGGUAAUGGCUCACCAAGGCGACGAUCCCUUGCUGGUCUGAGAGGAUGAUCAGCCACUGUGGAACUGAGACACCGCCCACACUCCUACGGGAGGCAGAAUUGGGGAAUAUUGCACAAUGGGGGAAACCCUGAUGCAGCCAUGCCGCGUGUGUGAUGAAGGCCUUCGGGUUGUUAAGCACUUUCAGCGAGGAGGAAAGGUUGAUGCCUAAUACGU
rnacentral:rRNA from 1 species